rnacentral:rRNA from 2 species
GAGUUUGAUCAUGGCUCAGAACGAACGCUGGCGGCAUGCCUAACACAUGCAAGUCGAACGAGACCUUCGGGUCUAGUGGCGCACGGGUGCGUAACGCGUGGGAAUCUGCCCUUGGGUUCGGAAUAACAGUUAGAAAUGACUGCUAAUACCGAAUGAUGUCUUCGGACCAAAGAUUUAUCGCCCAGGGAUGAGCCCGCGCCGGAUUAGCUAGUUGGUGAGGUAAAAGCUCACCAAGGCGACGAUCCGUAGCUGGUCUGAGAGGAUGAUCAGCCACACUGGGACUGAGACACGGCCCAGACUCCUACGGGAGGCAGCAGUGGGGAAUAUUGGACAAUGGGCGAAAGCCUGAUCCAGCAAUGCCGCGUGAGUGAUGAAGGCCUUAGGGUUGUAAAGCUCUUUUACCCGGGAUGAUAAUGACAGUACCGGGAGAAUAAGCCCCGGCUAACUCCGUGCCAGCAGCCGCCGCCGUAAC